UACGUAGGAUGCAAGCGUUGUCCGGAAUUAUUGGGCGUAAAGAGCUCGUAGGCGGUCUGUCGCGUCGGCUGUGAAAACCCGGGGCUCAACCCCGGGCCUGCAGUCGAUACGGGCAGACUAGAGUGCGGUAGGGGAGACUGGAAUUCCUGGUGUAGCGGUGAAAUGCGCAGAUAUCAGGAGGAACACCGGUGGCGAAGGCGGGUCUCUGGGCCGUAACUGACGCUGAGGAGCGAAAGCGUGGGGAGCGAACAGG
rnacentral:rRNA from 1 species